rnacentral:rRNA from 1 species
UACGUAGGGGGCAAGCGUUGUCCGGAUUUAUUGGGCGUAAAGAGCGUGUAGGCGGCCAGGUAGGUCGGUUGUGAAAACUAGAGGCUCAACCUCUAGACGUCGACCGAAACCAUCUGGCUAGAGUCCGGAAGAGGAGAGUGGAAUUCCGGGUGUAGUGGUGAAAUGCGUAGAGAUCCGGAGGAACCCCAGAGGCGAAGGCGGCAGCCUGGUUCGUACCUGACGCUCGGACACGACAGCAUGGGGAGCGAACGGG